rnacentral:lncRNA from 1 species
AUGAGAACAGAAGCCUUAUCUGUAUCCUGAGGAUCUAAAACUGCUGAUAUUCCUGCAGGUUCUGCAUACUGAAGAAACUACUAUUUCAGCUGGUCUGAAGGACCCCACUGAUGCCAGCUGACCUGAAGGACUCCAUGAAAAGCUGACUCACCAAAGAAUGCAGUUUCCAUAUCCUGAUGAUUUCAUCCCCCUUGCCCCGACAAAUCAACAACCCCUCAUCCUCCACGAUCCCCUUAAUAAAUAACUCCAGCCCAGAACUCCUUGGGGAGAUGGAUUUGAGGUUCUCCUCCCAUCUCCUUGCUUGAUGUGGGGUGCCCUGUGAUGAUUACAUUCUUUUUUUGCUGCAUUUUUGCUGUCUUAGUGUAAUUGGUUAGUUAUUGUGCAUUGGGCAUAUGAGCCUGUUGGUCCUAUAACAUCUUCAGCCCACUGCAAGCAGCCUCACCCUGAUUCCUCUGCUCAAUCUACUCCAGGACAGGUAGUAAGGGCUCCUUGAUCUCGUAUCCAUUAAUUCUUUCUUCCUGAGGGACCCUCUCAUUCCACGCUUUUCCUUUUUCUCUCAUUCUCUCCCCUUCUUUCUUCUCCCAUCCCUUUUUCUCCCCCUUCUUCUCCUCCUCUGCCCAAUCCCACCACUGAAGUUCCUCAGGGCCAUGCCAGAGCCUCUUUUUCUUCUCUCCUCUCCCCACUCUGCAUAAUCCCCCUGGGUAAACUCAUUUGCCCUUGUUGUCUCAACCACCAGCCUCAGCCAUAUUCUUACUCCUUCAAACUCUGAGGAAGCUGCAGCCCCAACCCUCUUCCCCCUAAAAAACACACCACAGGGCAUUCUGCCCUCAAUUUCGGUGAAUCAUGACCUCUGAUGUCUGUUCAUGGACAUAGGACCAUUUAUCCAGCUCCUCCCUUGAAACCCUGUCUUCCUCUGCUUGCCAGAACACCAUUUGCUCCUGCCUUUCUUUUACUCCUUUGGCAGCUCCUUCUCUGGCUCCUUGCUGGCAUUUUUCUUUGCUUCUGUUUCCUCCUUAAACAUCCACAUUCUCAGGGCCCUGACCUCUUCCUCUCCAAACACCCUCUGAGGGAGGUCUUAAAAUUUAUAGCCAUGGCUUGGGAAAGGAGGAGACACGGAGUGGGUCUUGAAAGAUGCACAGGAAAUUUCUGUGG